rnacentral:rRNA from 1 species
AUUGAACGCUGGCGGCCGGCCUAACACAUGCAAUUCGAACGAGUGGCGGACGGGUGAUUAAUGUGUGGGAAACUGUCUGAGGGAGGGGGAUAACUACUUGAAACGGUAGCUAAUACCUCUUACCAUAAGAUGUUCCCAGAUGGGAUUAGCUAGUUGGUGGGGUAAAGGCUCACCAAGACGACUAUCCCUAGCUGUUCUGAGAGGAUGACAAGCCAAACGUGAAUUGCGACACGGUCCAGACUCCUACGGGAGGCAGCAGUGGGGAAUAUUGAACAUGGGGCGCAAGCCGGAUGCAGCCAUGCCGCUUGUAUGAAGAAGGCCGUCGGGUUGUAAAGUACUUUCAGCGGGGACGCGUUACCCGCAGAAGAAGCACCGGCUAACUCCGAGCCAGCAGCCGCGGUAAUAC